CCUACGGGUGGCUGCAGUGAGGAAUAUUGGUCAAUGGGUGCGAGCCUGAACCAGCCAAGUCGCGUGAGGGAAGACGGUCCUAUGGAUUGUAAACCUCUUUUGUCGGGGAGCAAAAGACGCCACGCGUGGGCUUAGCGAGAGUACCUGAAGAAAAAGCAUCGGCUAACUCCGUGCCAGCAGCCGCGGUAAUACGGAGGAUGCGAGCGUUAUCCGGAUUUAUUGGGUUUAAAGGGUGCGUAGGCGGAAUAUCAAGUCAGCGGUAAAAAUUCGGGGCUCAACCCCGUCGUGCCGUUGAAACUGAUGUUCUUGAGUGGGCGAGAAGUAUGCGGAAUGCGUGGUGUAGCGGUGAAAUGCAUAGAUAUCACGCAGAACUCCGAUUGCGAAGGCAGCAUACCGGCGCCCAACUGACGCUGAAGCACGAAAGCGUGGGUAUCGAACAGGAUUAGAUACCCGGGUAGUC
rnacentral:rRNA from 1 species